GUGCAAUUCUUCAUUGCUCUGUAUGAACGAGAUUCAAUAAACUCCCUUUUGCUUCAAGUUCAUCCUAUCGAAUUGUAUUGAUAGGGUUUUGUUAUUUUGUGAUCUCGGAAGCAAAUUAGAACCAGGAGAAGUUCAGGAUGAAGGUUGAGCAAGUCGAUGAUUUUUCCAAAGAACCACAUCAGUCAUUAGAGGCAUCUGUCGAUCAUGGAAACCACAUCAAUCCACAUGGUUUAUGAGCUACAUAUGGUGGUUUAUCACUGAACAGUGGGAAGUUCUUCCUCUGAUAUUUCAUGAGUAAGUUUUGUUAAUAUUAUAGGGGCUUACGGAAAACCACUUGACAACCGUGUUCUUGCUGUUCCCUUUCAAUUGCAGAUGCAUACACUUCAACGAUAUUACAUUUGGGACCUGCUGUGAAUUUUUAAAUUAAUAUCGAUGGCGUGGAGGAUCCAGUUGAAAUUGAUUGCGCAAAGAGUCUGCAGUCAAUAGUCCUUCGACAAGCUGGGAUCAGGUUAAACCUUCACAGAAUUUAUGCAUGGUUUAUUUAGAUUCACUUGGGAGUUUAGACAGGUCUUGGUUUUGAAGUUCUUUGGUUGUUUUAGAGCUACUGCUCAGUGCAGCAAGAAGAUCAAGCAAUGUUCAGGGGUUCUAUGGAGAACACAAUCUUUGGCUGGCAAACCUGCUGGAAUGUUCUACCUACUGGGUCUCAAGGUGGUGGUCAGGAAAGAACUGUGCAAGUCUCCCUAUGCUCUCUCUCUACUUCAGCACAUAACAAAUUAUCCGCUUCACAACACACAUGUUUCUCUUUUACUGGUACUGUGAAUCUUCUCCCAUGUUGCGCAGAAGCCUUGGAUUCUUUCUUAUCUGUUUUUAUGUUUGCAGGAAAUGUAGGAAGACUCCGUAGGCCCAUAAAAAAUAUCCCAUAAAAAACAAUUGGUUCAACUUUGAGCAUCUUAGGAGCACUGCAUUAGCUGAUAUAAGUAAGCCGGUGUUUGUAUGAAAGAUCUCAUAGGCCCAUAAAAAAACAUCCCAUUUGUUCAAGAAGAAUGGAGGUGUUCAUGUCAACAAGUUUAGGUCUAAGAACUCUUUCACUAGGAAAGGCAUCUCAGCUUUUGUUGAUGAGUAAAUCAACUGCUGUUAUUCUAGGAGAAAUCUGAUAUCUAAGCUGUUGUUGGCAAAAUCCUUAGUUCCAGACCUUAUUCAGGUACAGAUUAUCAUUCUUUAGAGUCGUAUCUCUGUAUUAUGUACAUUAUCUUUUUUCUUGCAUUUUCUUGAUUGUUUUCUGUUCCAAAUGAUUUUGAUGCAUCACCGUAAGUCAGAUAUGCAAAUUGGACCAACUAUAAGAUUCGCUUUGAGCAGAUUCAUAUUAUGUACGGCUUUCGUUAAUAUUUUCUUUAAUUUCCUAAGCAUAUCUCUAUUGAACCAGCAAUUAGAUCCAGAUCCUUGCAUGUAGGUUAUCUUUCUGAUUUGUUUUAACUAAAGAUCAGUAAUUUAAGAGUGACUUGAACAUGAACAGAGAAUACCCAUCGAGAUGGGGUGAUGAAAUUACCGAUUAGGGACAAGCCUUACCCAUGAUAAACUUAAAUCUUGCAGACAGUUGGAAAAUAUAGUGGUUCCUCGGCAUACUUCCCGUAGUGAACUACAGAGUGAGAUACUCACCUAAGUAUGGGUAGUUUUCUAAUACAGUUUGAUUUAAGUAGUUGUGGGCUUCAUUGUAGUUGGCAUAUUAAUCAGUGUUGUAAGAAGAAAAUCGUUUGAUAUCAUGGGCUAAUGCUAAACUGAAUGUAGUACACAAUGUCGAAUUUUUGUAAGUAGAUUUUAUGCAAAUUGCAGGUAUUAUUUCCACUAAUUUCAUUGAAUUAGUUGCUGAGAUAUUCCCUGUUGUUUUAGGCUGUCUGGGGCCGUCGAGAUAUUCCCUGUUGUUUCUGGCCGUUGAAAUCUCGAGCCCUAAAAUUGGCUUUUCAUCUGCCAGAAUUUUUUUUAUACGGAACAAUUUCUAACCAGCUUUUUCAUUUUUUCCCUCUCCAAACACUUCCUCUUGCGCAGAAUCCCUAAAUUUUUGUUUGUCUGUACUUUUUUUUUCGAUUCUUUAUUGCUUCUCUGAUGUGGUUUCCUAAAUUUAAUUGUAUUGAUUUUGGUUGUUUUUUUCAAAUUUUUGCGGAGGUUAAAGUAGAAUCAGAAAGAUGUGCAGCUUUUUAGCAUUGUUGUAAUCUGAUUGAUGCAGAAAAACGACUAGGUACCGAAAUUUGUUAUUCGCUUUAUUUUGUUUGGAAAAAUUUUAAACUUCUCACUCUACUAUGAAACUCUUCUCUUCUUCUGGCUUACUCACAACAAAGAAAUCGUUGAAAACCUUCCUCAUCAUCCCCCGUGUUACAGCAAAUUCGAGCUUAUAUCUCAAUUCCAACCGAAAUUUCACGUCCUGUAGUGACUUAUAUCUCAAUUUUGUAUUUGUUUUCUUGAAUAAGUUUUGAUUAGGGUCUUCGGUUGAUUAAUUUUGUUUUCUUUGCUACAAUUUUAUCUUUAUAGCAGAUAUCCAGUGUUUCUUAAAUUCAAUUAUUAAAGUCAUCCAAAUAUUAUUUUAUUAAUUUGAGUUAGGGUUUAUUUGAUGUGAAUGUCAUAGCUGAAUUGAUAGGUGCGAGGAGUUCAAAAAUCAAGAUUUAAUUUUUGUUUUUUUCAGGUUUGGUUUCGUAUGUCUUAGAGAAAUCAGGAAAUAUACUUCGAGGUUUAGCACUUUUUACUAGGAAUGGAGAAAUUAAGAUUUAACUUUCGUACUGCAUGGAUUUUGCGGGUCUCAGUUCCUUUGAUUGAUAGAGCUGUCAUGUGGGAAUGUAUCGCAAAACUUUAGGUUUAUCAUAGGAAUGACAAAGUUGGUGUGUCUGAAUUUAAUGUUUCAGUUCCAUCCUACGAAAAUUCUUUGUAUUAUUCACCUGAGUCACUACCGUAGUUUAAUGUUGCCGACCUGAUGCUACAGUGAUUAAUUUCACUCUUUAAAAACAACCUCAAAUGUAAUUCAAAGAGCUGCAUCCAAUAAGGAAGCAAAAGAUUGUUUCUAUUGAUGAUCAUUCAUUGUGAUAGAGUUCCCAGAGUUGAUAAGUAAGUGUAUAUGGUUGAGCUAUGUGUAUAUUUACUACCUAUGCAUCCCGUGUUCUGCUAAGGAGGCUCCACUGCAAUUACCAAGCAAUUCAAGUAGCCAGGAUUGAGGUUGAUCUUAAGCUUUCUAUGAAUCAAGACAGAGAGCUAGGUUGGAGGGUAUAAAGAAGUCCUUGCUGAAAAUGGAUCUUGAAAUGAGUUUGGUUUUCAAAGGUGCUUUUGAGUUGAACUGAACUGAACUUGAACUUUAACUUCAGAUUAGAUGGAGUUGUUUCGUUAAAUCAGUUAAGGUUGGACUUGCAUUGAAGCAUGCAUUUUGCUUUAAUGAUAGGAGGUAUGUUUUACGAUUUGUGCUUUAUUCUUAUUUUUUAUUACGUUGAUCUUUUAUAUGCAUUCCAAAUGAGCUACAACACUAUCAGAAUGUACUACAGAGGGAGAAAAUGGCGCCCCUGGCUGAACUUGGUUAGUAUUUGUACAUCUAAGGUUCACUGCAUUGUAAAGCAUAUCAUGUUAGAUGUAUUAAUGCUAACCCAAUUCGAUCUAGGAAAACUAAUACUACUAUUCUUCAAGUAGAGGUAAGAAUAGUCAUGCUUUUUUGUAUGUGGUAGCCAUGGAUGGAGGAUCCUGAUUCCUGAAGAUGAUGGCAUAAGAUGAAUGUUGGACAUUAGUCUUAUAAAAGGUGACUCUUAAUGAGGUCUGAUACUAUUGAGGAUUUGUCCUGGACAAUUGAGUGGACAUAAUGAAGUCAUUGAGAAUAUCAGUAAACAAACCGAAAGGUAGAAUAGAUUUUCCUAUUCAUAUAAGCACACGACAGAAGUUAAGGGGUUAAAGGCAUUCGGUGGUCAUGAAAGGCAGACUAACACAGUCCAAUAGUUAUGUGCCUGCUUUUACACAUGGGAAAGUAAGUAAUCACUUUUUUUUUCUUAAUAAAAUAACGAUUUUGAUUGUUUAGAUUAUAGUUACCUUGAGCAGCUCAAUGCGGUUCUUGCGUAAGGAGAAGAUCGAAUAAAAAGAGAUGCAUCAGGGGUUACUUGAAGUUAACUUGGAAUUGUAAACUCCGUUUGCCUAUGAUGGAUUCAUGGGUGAAAUUUGCAGGAGCAUUCCAUAUGCUAUAGCAUUAAGGAGCAUGUGCAGCAAUGCUGAACCCCUUCGUUGGCAGAGCCGUUGGUCUGGACUUCUCCAUUGAAGUUUAUCAGUGAGCUGAGUCUAGAGGCUAAAGUCGUGUUAGAAGGGGCACUUUUCCCCAUCAGCUACUGAUACUGGCAACAAUAUCUCUGAGCGUCAAAAAAUAUGGGAAGUACCGAAAAAUCACGUAGAUGAUUUGAUUAACGUCACCAAUAAUGGAGACUUUCCUAAUCUUUCUUAACCAGAAAUAAUAAUUUUUGGAUAUACGAUUGAAGAGUAUGAAAGUGCUCAAGGAUGGUUACUACAUUAUUGGGCUUUCACAAGUAAAUAAAGUUAAUGAGGUAGUUGGAGUAGUUAGGAGCUUAAUAUCUGAAAAAUUGAUCGCCAAAGAAAUCAUGUAAGUGAAAGUGAGGUAGCAAGUAGGAUUGUUCAUGUUCAGCCUGACGUUUCAGCGUUACCCAAAUUGGAUAUAUGCUAUUCUCAAACUUUCAACUGUUUGACAAUUCAAUUAAAUUAUUUCCUGCUUCACUUUAUACAUUCAAUUUUUCUGUAGUAUGAUAUGCUCAUACAUCAAGACAAAAUUAAGUUAUUCGGUUUGUUUCAGGGGAACUUGAUAGGAUGAGGUAUUCUUGAAUUUUGUAAUGGAGGUCUGCCGGUGAGAUUUGUAUAUUACUUCACAGAAUCAGCAACGGAACUUGAUUCACAGCAUCAAUGAUGGAGACUGUCUAAGCUAUUCCAGGAUACUCUUCUUUCCUUUUAAUCUAAUUAAGCUCCUGCCUAUUACAGAUGAGUUAUAUUAACAGUACUUCAUACAACUCUAUGCCACUUUUGAGGAUGAUACAAUCUAUGCAUACUUUUUUCACUGCGGUACUGUAGGCAUGAAUUUCGUUAAGGAUUUUUACACAGAUUUAAUCUAUGGCAUCAGAAGGACGACGGGCUUUGUGGUUUGUCUAUGUAAUAAAUUGAAGAUACUGAUUUUCUUAUCCCACCAGGUUAAGGUUUAAGAGCAGCAUUUUUCCCAUAAUUUCUUUUACAAUGUUUUUUUUUUCUUUUACAAUAUUAAUAGGUCCAUUCAUGACAAGCUAAAAUGUGGAUGAGUCCAGGGGAAGUUAUGACAACCUAAAAUGCAUAUUCAAGCAGAUGUGAAAGUGCAAGGCAUUUUUCAUCGCUCAUGUCCCUUGCAGCCUUCCAGAUCACAAACGUUCCGGUGGCAGCUAAAAUAAAGUGAUAAAGUGAGAGAGAAUCAAAAGUCUAUGUUGGAGGUAAACUUUGUACAAGAGGAUAAGUGGGAAGAAAGUAAAAGUGACAGAGGAAGUUGUGCCGGUAAUAACUGGACCAGCAGGAGCUCCACCAGAUUUGAAUGAUUCUAAAGUGGCAGUACUGAGGAGAUAGAGCACAAGGGGGCACAGUAAUUAUAAAAUUCAAGUUCGAUUUUAUAUUAGAGAAAAUUUUUGUUAAUUUUUGGAUUUGAUAGAUGAGUUAAAGGCUAAAGCUUCUUAUGCUAUUUGAAUUUAUUGUGUAGUUGAGCAUAUAGAGAUUUAGAAAUUCAAUCAUAGAUGUGGGGGAGGAAUGUGAUUGGGAUUGGGUGGAGCACGAAUAUUUAUCAUGGAUUUGACUGUAUUUUAGCUAAUAUAUUGGCGAAUUGGCGAGUCUUGAGAAA